rnacentral:rRNA from 1 species
GGAAGUAAAAGUCGAACAACGGUCUCCGUUGGUGAACCAGCGGAGGGAUAUUAC